GAUGAACGCUGGCGGCGUGCCUAAUACAUGCAAGUCGAGCGAACGGACGAGAAGCUUGCUUCUCUGAUGUUAGCGGCGGACGGGUGAGUAACACGUGGAUAACCUACCUAUAAGACUGGGAUAACUUCGGGAAACCGGAGCUAAUACCGGAUAAUAUUUUGAACCGCAUGGUUCAAAAGUGAAAGACGGUCUUGCUGUCACUUACAGAUGGAUCCGCGCUGCAUUAGCUAGUUGGUAAGGUAACGGCUUACCAAGGCAACGAUGCAUAGCCGACCUGAGAGGGUGAUCGGCCACACUGGAACUGAGACACGGUCCAGACUCCUACGGGAGGCAGCAGUAGGGAAUCUUCCGCAAUGGGCGAAAGCCUGACGGAGCAACGCCGCGUGAGUGAUGAAGGUCUUCGGAUCGUAAAACUCUGUUAUUAGGGAAGAACAUAUGUGUAAGUAACUGUGCACAUCUUGACGGUACCUAAUCAGAAAGCCACGGCUAACUACGUG
rnacentral:rRNA from 1 species